ensembl:snoRNA
UGGAUCAAUAUUGAGGACUAGUGGCACAUGAGUCAAGGAGGAACAAAAAUGCUGAUCUAGAACUCUGAGGUCCAA